rnacentral:rRNA from 1 species
AGCAGCCGCGGUAAUUCCAGCUCCAAUAGCGUAUAUUAAAGUUGUUGCAGUUAAAAAGCUCGUAGUUGAAUUUCGGGAUCAUCAGGUUGGUCGUGCCUCUGGUAUGUACUGAUUUCGAUGGUCCCUCCUUCUUGAAGAGCCGUAAUGCCAUUAAUUUGGUGUUGCGGGGAAUCAGGACUGUUACUUUGAAAAAUUAGAGUGUUUAAAGCAGGCAAUCGCUUGAAUACAUUAGCAUGGAAUAAUGAAAUAGGACGUUCGAUCCUAUUUUGUUGGUUUCUAGGAUUGACGUAAUGAUUAAUAGGGAUAGUUGGGGGCAUUAGUAUUCAAUUGUCAGAGGUGAAAUUCUUGGAUUUAUUGAAGACUAACUACUGCGAAAGCAUUUGCCAAGGAUGUUUUCAUUAAUCAAGAACGAAAGUUAGGGGAUCGAAAACGAUCAGAUACCGUCGUAGUCUUAACCAUAAACUAUGCCGACUAGGGAUCGGAUGAUGUUAAUUUUUAAUGG